rnacentral:rRNA from 1 species
UACGUAGGGGGCUAGCGUUGUCCGGAUUUAUUGGGCGUAAAGAGCGUGUAGGCGACCAGGUAGGUCUGGUGUGAAAACUCGAGGCUUAACCUCGAGAUGUCAUCGGAAACCAUUUGGCUAGAGUCCGGAAGAGGAGAGUGGAAUUCCUGGUGUAGCGGUGAAAUGCGCAGAUAUCAGGAAGAACACCAAUGGCGAAAGCAGCUCUCUGGGACGGUACUGACGCUGAGACGCGAAAGCGUGGGGAGCGAACAGG